rnacentral:misc_RNA from 1 species
AACGCAAAUUGCACUUUCUGGUAUUCCGGAAAGUAUGCCUGUUUGAGGGUCAGUUAAAUAAAAAUCGGUGUUAUUGCUGUUAAUGGUGAUGCGUCGGAAUUGAGUCGUCUUUACCUUUGGUUUAAGUGACUUAAAAUUAUGUACGAUUUCUGAACGUAUUUAAAUUAUUUACUUACGCUCAUGAUAUCACAUAUUAGGCGCGAUCAUCCACAUGAUUUCGCGUCUAUAAUUUUUCAUUAUUUGACCUCAAAUCAGGUAAGAAUACCCGCUGAACUUAA